rnacentral:tRNA from 1 species
CGGAUGUGGCUCAGUUGGUAGAGCAUCACCUUGCCAAGGUGAGGGUCGCGGGUUCGAGUCCCGU